ACCCCUAAACCAGGCAGCAGUCGAGAAUGAGGAAGAGACGGCUAACUCUGUGCCAGCAGCCGCGGUAAUACAGAGGUCUCAAGCGUUGUUCGGAUUCAUUGGGCGUAAAGGGUGUGUAGGUGGCGCGCUAAGUCGGGUGUGAAAUUUCGGAGCUUAACUCCGAAACUGCAUUCGAUACUGGCGUGCUUGAGGACUGCAU
rnacentral:rRNA from 1 species